UAGUGACCGAUAGUGAACCAGUACCGUGAGGGAAAGGUGAAAAGUACCCCGGAAGGGGAGUGAAAGAGAACUUGAAACCGUGUGCUUACAAGUAGUCAGAGCCCGUUAAUGGGUGAUGGCGUGCCUUUUGUAGAAUGAACCGGCGAGUUACGAUCUGAUGCAAGGUUAAGCAGCAAAUGUGGAGCCGCAGCGAAAGCGAGUCUGAAUAGGGCGUUGAGUAUUUGGUCGUAGACCCGAAACCAGGUGAUCUACCCUUGGUCAGGUUGAAGUUCAGGUAACACUGAAUGGAGGACCGAACCGACUUACGUUGAAAAGUGAGCGGAUGAACUGAGGGUAGCGGAGAAAUUCCAAUCGAACUUGGAGAUAGCUGGUUCUCUCCGAAAUAGCUUUAGGGCUAGCCUCAAGUGAUGAUUAUUGGAGGUAGAGCACUGUUUGGACGAGGGGCCCCUCUCGGGUUACCGAAUUCAGACAAACUCCGAAUGCCAAUUAAUUUAACUUGGGAGUCAGAACAUGGGUGAUAAGGUCCGUGUUCGAAAGGGAAACAGCCCAGACCACCAGCUAAGGUCCCAAAAUAUAUGUUAAGUGGAAAAGGAUGUGGCGUUGCCCAGACAACUAGGAUGUUGGCUUAGAAGCAGCCAUCAUUUAAAGAGUGCGUAAUAGCUCACUAGUCGAGUGACACUGCGCCGAAAAUGUACCGGGGCUAAACAUAUUACCGAAGCUGUGGAUUGUCCUUUGGACAAUGGUAGGAGAGCGUUCUAAGGGCGUCGAAGCAUGAUCGCAAGGACAUGUGGAGCGCUUAGAAGUGAGAAUGCCGGUGUGAGUAGCGAAAGACGGGUGAGAAUCCCGUCCACCGAUUGACUAAGGUUUCCAGAGGAAGGCUCGUCCGCUCUGGGUUAGUCGGGUCCUAAGCUGAGGCCGACAGGCGUAGGCGAUGGAUAACAGGUUGAUAUUCCUGUACCACCUAGUAUCGUUUUAAUCGAUGGGGGGACGCAGUAGGAUAGGCGAAGCGUGCUGUUGGAGUGCACGUCCAAGCAGUAAGGCUGAGUGUUAGGCAAAUCCGGCACUCAUAAGGCUGAGCUGUGAUGGGGAGAGGAAAUUGUUUCCUCGAGUCGUUGAUUUCACACUGCCGAGAAAAGCCUCUAGAUAGAUAACAGGUGCCCGUACCGCAAACCGACACAGGUAGUCAAGAUGAGAAUUCUAAGGUGAGCGAGCGAACUCUCGUUAAGGAACUCGGCAAAAUGACCCCGUAACUUCGGGAGAAGGGGUGCUCUUUAGGGUUAACGCCCAGAAGAGCCGCAGUGAAUAGGCCCAAGCGACUGUUUAUCAAAAACACAGGUCUCUGCUAAACCGUAAGGUGAUGUAUAGGGGCUGACGCCUGCCCGGUGCUGGAAGGUUAAGAGGAGUGGUUAGCUUCUGCGAAGCUACGAAUCGAAGCCCCAGUAAACGGCGGCCGUAACUAUAACGGUCCUAAGGUAGCGAAAUUCCUUGUCGGGUAAGUUCCGACCCGCACGAAAGGCGUAACGAUUUGGGCACUGUCUCAACGAGAGACUCGGUGAAAUCAUAGUACCUGUGAAGAUGCAGGUUACCCGCGACAGGACGGAAAGACCCCGUGGAGCUUUACUGUAGCCUGAUAUUGAAAUUCGGCACAGCUUGUACAGGAUAGGUAGGAGCCUUUGAAACGUGAGCGCUAGCUUACGUGGAGGCGUUGGUGGGAUACUACCCUAGCUGUGUUGGCUUUCUAACCCGCACCACUUAUCGUGGUGGGAGACAGUGUCAGGCGGGCAGUUUGACUGGGGCGGUCGCCUCCUAAAAGGUAACGGAGGCGCUCAAAGGUUCCCUCAGAAUGGUUGGAAAUCAUUCAUAGAGUGUAAAGGCAUAAGGGAGCUUGACUGCGAGACCUACAAGUCGAGCAGGGUCGAAAGACGGACUUAGUGAUCCGGUGGUUCCGCAUGGAAGGGCCAUCGCUCAACGGAUAAAAGCUACCCCGGGGAUAACAGGCUUAUCUCCCCCAAGAGUUCACAUCGACGGGGAGGUUUGGCACCUCGAUGUCGGCUCAUCGCAUCCUGGGGCUGUAGUCGGUCCCAAGGGUUGGGCUGUUCGCCCAUUAAAGCGGUACGCGAGCUGGGUUCAGAACGUCGUGAGACAGUUCGGUCCCUAUCCGUCGUGGGCGUAGGAAAUUUGAGAGGAGCUGUCCUUAGUACGAGAGGACCGGGAUGGACAUACCUCUGGUGUACCAGUUGUCGUGCCAACGGCAUAGCUGGGUAGCUAUGUAUGGACGGGAUAAGUGCUGAAAGCAUCUAAGCAUGAAGCCCCCCUCAAGAUGAGAUUUCCCAACUUCGGUUAUAAGAUCCCUCGAAGAUGACGAGGUUAAUAGGUUCGAGGUGGAAGCGUGGUGACACGUGGAGCUGACGAAUACUAAUCGAUCGAAGACUUAAUCAA
rnacentral:rRNA from 1 species